rnacentral:snRNA from 1 species
AUUGCUUCUCGGCCCUUUGGCUAAGAUCAAGUGUAGAAUCAUUAUGCCCUCAGUAUGUGCCAGCAGGAAGUCACAAGAGUCUAAACCUGUUCAAUCCUUAUUUUCCUAAGUCAACCAUCAUUAAAAUGUUCAUUUGUCAUUAUUUACAAAUUAAAUUUGAGUCUCU